AUACGGAGGGUGCGAGCGUUAAUCGGAAUUACUGGGCGUAAGGCGUACGUAGGCGGUUGGUUAAGUUAGAUGUGAAAGCCCCGGGCUUAACCUGGGAACUGCAUUUAAAACUGGCGAACUAGAGUUGAGUAGAGGGGAGUGGAAUUUCAGGUGUAGCGGUGAAAUGCGUAGAGAUCUGAAGGAACACCAGUGGCGAAGGCGACUCCCUGGACUCGAACUGACGCUGAGGUACGAAAGCGUGGGUAGCAAACGGGAUUAGAAACCCUAGUAGUCC
rnacentral:rRNA from 1 species